AUUGAACGCUGGCGGCAGGCCUAACACAUGCAAGUCGAGCGAGCGGCGGACGGGUGAGUAAUGUCUGGGGACUGCCCGAUAGAGGGGGAUAACUACUGGAAACGGUGGCUAAUACCGCAUAAUAUUGGAUAACCCAUAUGGGAUUAGCUAGUAGGUGGGGUAAAGGCUCACCUAGGCGACGAUCCCUAGCUGGUCUGAGGGGAUGAUCAGCCACACGGGGACUGAGACGCUGCCCAGACUCCGACGGAGGCAGCAGUGGGGAAUAUUGCACAAUGGGCGCAAGCCUGAUGCAGCCAUGCCGCGUGUAUGUGGAAGGCCUUAGGGUUGUAAAGUACUUUCAGCGGGGAGGCGUUACCCGCAGAAGAAGCACCGGCUAACUCCGUGCCAGCAGCCGCGGUAAUAC
rnacentral:rRNA from 1 species